CCUACGGGGGGCAGCAGUCGAGAAUCAUUCACAAUGGGGGAAACCCUGAUGGUGCGACGCCGCGUGGGGGAAUGAAGGUCUUCGGAUUGUAAACCCCUGUCAUGUGGGAGCAAAUUAAAAAGAUAGUACCACAAGAGGAAGAGACGGCUAAGUCUGUGCCAGCAGCCGCGGUAAUACAGAGGUCUCAAGCGUUGUUCGGAAUCACUGGGCGUAAAGCGUGCGUAGGCUGUUUCGUAAGGCGUGUGUGAAAGGCGCGGACUCAACCCGCGGACGGCACAUGAUACUGCGAGACUAGAGUAAUGGAGGGGGAACCGGAAUUCGCGGUGUAGCAGUGAAAUGCGUAGAUAUCGAGAGGAACACUCGUGGCGAAGGCGGGUUCCUGGACAUUAACUGACGCUGAGGCACGAAGGCCAGGGGAGCGAAAGGGAUUAGAUACCCUGGUAGUC
rnacentral:rRNA from 1 species